GGCGGGACACGUGGUAUCCUGUCUGAAUAUGGGGGGACCAUCCUCCAAGGCUAAAUACUCCUGACUGACCGAUAGUGAACCAGUACCGUGAGGGAAAGGCGAAAAGAACCCCGGCGAGGGGAGUGAAAAAGAACCUGAAACCGUGUACGUACAAGCAGUGGGAGCACAGGUUUACCUGUGUGACUGCGUACCUUUUGUAUAAUGGGUCAGCGACUUAUAUUCUGUAGCAAGGUUAACCGAAUAGGGGAGCCGGAGGGAAACCGAGUCUUAAUUGGGCGUUAAGUUGCAGGGUAUAGACCCGAAACCCGGUGAUCUAGCCAUGGGCAGGUUGAAGGUUGGGUAACACUAACUGGAGGACCGAACCGACUAAUGUUGAAAAAUUAGCGGAUGACCUGUGGCUGGGGGUGAAAGGCCAAUCAAACCGGGAGAUAGCUGGUUCUCCCCGAAAGCUAUUUAGGUAGCGCCUCGUGAAUUCAUCUCCGGGGGUAGAGCACUGUUUCGGCUAGGGGGCCAUCCCGGCUUACCAACCCGAUGCAAACUGCGAAUACCGGAGAAUGUUAUCACGGGAGACACACGGCGGGUGCUAACGUCCGUCGUGAAGAGGGAAACAACCCAGACCGCCAGCUAAGGUCCCAAAGUCAUGGUUAAGUGGGAAACGAUGUGGGAAGGCCCAGACAGCCAGGAUGUUGGCUUAGAAGCAGCCAUCAUUUAAAGAAAGCGUAAUAGCUCACUGGUCGAGUCGGCCUGCGCGGAAGAUGUAACGGGGCUAAACCAUGCACCGAAGCUGCGGCAGCGAACGUAUCACCCAAGACAACUUUACGGAGUUGACGAUUGACGGAGCGAAGCGACGUCAAAGCGUUCAUUAAAGUCGAGUUGGCUUAGGGAUACGUUCGUUGGGUAGGGGAGCGUUCUGUAAGCCUGUGAAGGUGUGUCGUGAGGC
rnacentral:rRNA from 1 species